rnacentral:lncRNA from 1 species
AGUGCAAGUAAGAACAGGCUCCAUCAUGGAUGGAAAGUACAUCCUAGAGAAAGGACAGGUGGAACUAGGCUACGAGCCUGAGGGAACGCCCCCGAACUGCACCAGCUUUACCCUGCUUGGCCAUCUUGUGCAGGGGCAGAUGGAUCAGAUCAUCCUGAAAAGCGCUGGGUCUGAAGUAAGCUGCGUGAAGCUGGCAGUGAACGCUAAUCAGGUCGGUGGUCUCAUGGUCAGGCAUAUCUACAUCUGGGGGGAGAAUGCCGAAGUCAGAAGAAAUAAUCAAAGAUAU